rnacentral:lncRNA from 1 species
AGAAACUUGAUGUCCCAGCCCGGUGUGGGCAGCCAUCCGCAUAAGGCUGUGCAUGCUGGCAUUUGACACAGAACUGCACGAACUGAACCGCAUCUGCACAAAGCAAAGCGACCCGACGCGGCGGGCAGCUUAGGCCUUCAAUGCCGCUUCCCUUCCUUGAUACCUCCUGCCUAAUUGCUGGACUUCCU